AGAGUUGAAUGGGAAAAAAGAUUCAUUUAGCUCAUCUCACCUAGUUUGGGAUCAAAGCUUCGUAGUUUUGUUGUUGACGUGGCUAGCUUAGAAUAUGCCACGUCAUUGGGGUCUAAUUGCUUUACCUGUUUGAACCAUUUCUGGUUAGAUUGGUUCAUUGAUUAUUUGUGCAAUUUAAGCAGGUCAAGUGGAGUUUCAUGUAAAAGGGCCACAAGCUCAAAGUAGAUAGACUAUUGGGCUGAUUUGCAGUCUAACUAGUGAUGGUGAUUGGGAUCUGACAACACUAUAAUUGCAGAGUAAACGCCAAUUUGAGGAUUUGCCCCUUUAAAUUUGCAGUAAGAGCCGGUUAAGUCCAAAUUCAUAAAUCAAGGCAAAUUGGACAUGGAAAAUUUGCAAACCAAAUCAAUUAUAUCCAAAUGUGGUUCAAUGUAAAACAUAAACCAUUAAAGGAAUUAAAGCAUUGAGUAAAAGAAUAAAAAUGUUAGGUAUUUUACAUUUGAUCUCUAAGAUUUGUCAAAAACUACAAGCUGGUACCUCUCUUUUGCCCUUUCCUCUCUCAACUCUACCUUCGUUCCUCCUAAAAUACCACAACAAUGGCAUGAUACUCGAAUAACUCGAUCAUCACCGCCACUACCAAUCAACAAAUUUAAUCUCAUUCCAAAGUUAAUAAAAAAAAAAAUUCAAAAUCAACCAAUCCUAUAUCAAAAACACCAAAAUCAAUAAAUCAUAUCAAUUUCAAAAUUAAAAAAAAAAAAAUUCAAUAACCAAACAAAUCCUCAAAGUCAAAGCUUCUUAAAACCCAUUAAACACCGAAAAUUUUACUAGUGUACCAACAACACAAAAUAUUUCUACCAUCAUUAACUCUACGAGAAAAAGAAACUUAAAACAAUUGGCAUGUUUAAGUCUAGCAGAAUUGAAACAUCCAAAAUUUAGGUAAAAAAAAAAGAGCAAUUAGCAGCAGCAAUAAUAAUAACCAAGCCUUAAUCAAAACUAGUUGAGGUUGGUUAUGUGGAUCCUUUUUUGCCUUUUAUCUCAGAGACUAAAUCCGCCUGAAUUUCGAAAACUUGUAAAUCCUUUCACAUCACUUCCCUCCAUGUUAUCUUAGGUCUUCCUGUUCUCCUUCUCAUUCUUUCUCCAACUAACUUACCACACUUCUGUACUAGGAUAUUUUAUUUUCUAUGUUGGACAUAACCAAACCACCUUAGUCGACUCUUAUCUCAUUUUAUCUCUAAUAUGUGUUAUAUACAUUCUCUUGUAGAUGUGAUCAUUCCUUAUCUAUUAUUGUGUUAUCAGACAUCUAUAUUGACAUCCACAUUUUUGCCACAUUUUUCUUGUGGGUAUGUUUUAUCUUGGUUGCCCAACAUUCACUCCUAUACAACAUAGCUGGUUUGAUCACAGUCCUAUAUAAUUUGCCUUUAUUUUGUUAGGGGUCGAAUAAUACACUUGUCGCACCCCUACAUUUCAUCCAUUUCUUGUUGAUCAUAUGGGUUACAUCUUACAUCACCAUCUAAAGCUUCAUCCUUCUGUAUGAUUGAACCUAAAUACUUGAAUUGAUUGUAUUUUACCACUUAAACUUAUGAAUAUCUUCUCCAUUCCUUCUAUAAGAGCUAAACUCACAUGCAUACAUUCCAUAUUACUUUUACUUAGCCUAAAACCUUACUCUAAAGAGUCCUUCUCCAAAACCCCAAAUUUUAAUUAACUCACUAAGACCACUUCAUUUGUAAAUAACAUGCUCCAUGUGACAUCAUCUUGAAUAUGAAUGGUUAGCUUAUCCAUAAUUAAGGAAAAAAUAGGUACAGAUUCAGAGAUGAUCUUUUACUAUAAAUCCACUUAUAUUGGGAAUUCAUUCGUGUCACCUCAUAAUAUUCUUACUCUUGUAACUGCCCCUUCAUGCAUGUCCUUAAUAAUAUUUAUAAAUUUGAUAUUAACUCAUUUCUUUUCAAUCACUCAUCAAAGAAUAUUACAAUUUUAACAAGAGAUAUAUGUAUAUUAAUAAGAUUAUAUUUCUAACUUAUAUUUCUAACUUAUAUUAUUUUUAUUUAAUAAAUUUAUAUUGUACAAAAGUUGAAAAAGAAAAAAAUAAAAAGAAAAAAGAGAAUCCUUGUGGAGAAACUCGCCCAAUCCCACACCUCGAUGGGGAAGUUCUCGCCUUGACCUCAAUACUCUUUGGUGUGGGGACGGAGGCUGGAAGUACCUUUUGGUUUAAUAGAUUCAAAACAUAAGAGCUAAUUAAUAUAAUUUCCAAAAUAAAGAGACUAAUUAGUAAAUAAUGGUAAACUCUAAAAUCUAAAUAAUAAUUCUUCCAAAAAUUUACUAUGAGAAGAGAAUGAAAAUAUUGUAAAUUGCUAAAUUUAAAAAAAAAAAAAAAAAUUCUGGCCAGUGGCUCAACUCUCAAGUGGUUCCUGUAUUAUCAUGCUU
rnacentral:misc_RNA from 1 species